rnacentral:rRNA from 1 species
CGUAGGGUGCAAGCGUUAAUCGGAAUUACUGGGCGUAAAGCGUGCGCAGGCGGUCUUGCAAGACAGGUGUGAAAUCCCCGGGCCUAACCUGGGAACUGCACUUGUGACUGCAAGGCUGGAGUACGGCAGAGGGGGAUGGAAUUCCGCGUGUAGCAGUGAAAUGCGUAGAUAUGCGGAGGAACACCGAUGGCGAAGGCAAUCCCCUGGGCCUGCACUGACGCUCAUGCACGAAAGCGUGGGGAGCAAACAGGAUUAGAUACCCUGGUAGUCCACGCCCUAAACGAUGUCAACUGGUUGUUGGACGGCUUGCUGUUCAGUAACGUAGCUAACGCGUGAAGUUGACCGCCUGGGGAGUACGGCCGCAAGGUUG